rnacentral:ncRNA from 1 species
GGUAGUAGCAAAUAUUCAAAUGAGAACUUUGAAGACUGAAGUGGAGAAAGGUUCCAUGUGAACAGCAAUUGGACAUGGGUUAGUCGAUCCUAAGAGAUGGGGUAAUCCUGUGUGAAGAGCGCGAUUCGCGCUGCCCAUCGAAAGGGAAAAGGGUUAAGAUUCCCUUACUUGGACAAGGCGGCUGGCGGUAACGCAAGCGAGCCCGGAGACAUCGGCAUCGGCCCUGGGAAGAUUUUCAAGUUGGGCUAUUCCCGGUUCGCUCGCCGUUACUAGGGGAAUCCUUGUUAGUUUCUUUUCCUCCGCUUAUUGAUAUGCUUAAGUUCAGCGGGUAAUCUUGCCUGAGCUCAGGUC